AUAUUGGACAAUGGGGGAAACCCUGAUCCAGCGACGCCGCGUGAAUGAUGAAGGCCUUAGGGUUGUAAAGUUCUUUCGUCCGUGACGAUGAUGACGGUAGUCGGAUAAGAAGCCCCGGCUAACUCCGUGCCAGCAGCCGCGGUAAUACGGAGGGGGCGAGCGUUGUUCGGAAUUACUGGGCGUAAAGGGCGCGUAGGCGGUGACGUUAGUCGGGCGUGAAAGCCCCGGGCUCAACCUGGGAUGUGCGUUCGAUACUGCGUUGCUUGAGAGCGGAAGAGGGUAGUGGAAUUCCCAGUGUAGAGGUGAAAUUCGUAGAUAUUGGGAAGAACACCAGUGGCGAAGGCGGCUACCUGGUCCGUUUCUGACGCUGAGGCGCGAAAGCGUGGGGAGCAAA
rnacentral:rRNA from 1 species